rnacentral:rRNA from 1 species
UACGUAGGGUGCAAGCAUUGUCCGGAUUUAUUGGGCGUAAAGAGCUCGUAGGCGGCUUGUCACGUCGGAUGUGAAAACUCGGGGCUCAACCCCGAGCCUGCAUUCGAUACGGGCUAGCUAGAGUGUUGCAGGGGAGACUGGAAUUCCCGGUGUAGUGGUGAUAUGCGUAGAUAUCGGGAGGAACACCAGUGGCGAAGGCGGCUCUCUGGGCCUUACCUGACGCUGAGACGCGAAAGCGUGGGGAGCGAACCGG